rnacentral:rRNA from 1 species
ACGGCUCAGUAACACGUGGACAACCUACCCAAAGGUCUGGGAUAACUCCGGGAAACUGGGGAUAAUACCGGAUAGGUCAAGAGUACUGGAAGGAUUUUUUGAUUGAAAGCUCUGGCGCCUUUGGAUGGGUCUGCGGCUGAUUAGGUUGACGCCGGUGUAAAGUACCGGCGUGCCGAUUAUCAGUACGGGUUGUGGGAGCAAGAGCCCGGAGAUGGAUUCUGAGACACGAAUCCAGGCCCUACGGGGCGCAGCAGGCGCGAAAACUCUACAAUGCAGGCAACUGCGAUAGGGGAACAUCGAGUGGCAUCUACAUUAGGUGUCUGUCCAGCUGUCUAAAAAACGGCUGUUAGCAAGGGCCGGGCAAGACCGGUGCCAGCCGCCGCGGUAAUACCGGCGGCUCGAGUGGUGGCCGAUAUUAUUGAGUCUAAAGGGUCCGUGGCCGGCUUUGCAAGUCUUGUGGGAAAUCCAGCGGCUUAACCGUUGGGCGUCUGCGGGAUACUACAUUGCUUGGGACUGGGAGAGGUAGGAGGUACUCAGGGGGUAGGAGUGAAAUCCUGUAAUCCUCUGGGGACCACCGGUGGCGAAGGCGUCCUACCAGAACAGGUCCGACGGUGAGGGACGAAAGCUAGGGGCACGAACCGGAUUAGAUACCCGGGUAGUCCUAGCCGUAAACGAUGCCCGCUAGGUGUCACGGCAGUCGUGAACUGCCGUGGUGCCGUAGGGAAGCCGUGAAGCGGGCCACUUGGGAAGUACGACCGCAAGGUUGAAACUUAAAGGAAUUGGCGGGGGAGCAC